AAGCAGGGAAGGAAGUGGCCGCCGCGCAACCCUAGCAGGGCCUCAGCCGCCUGCAAGGAAAGGAGGACGGUCGCGGAACCGACUCCGCUUGAAGCUCCGCCGGCUAAUCCGAUGCGCUUCUCUGAAGUUGAUGCCUCCCUAUCUCAGAUUUUUCCCUUCUCCAUUUGCUUCAUCCACCACCAUGGCUACUGCACAACAGGUGUUUGGUGAAAUUCCUCAAAGUGUGGAUGAUGAGUCUUUUCUCAACAUAUGUGAAAUAAAUGAAGGAACAUUUGAUGAUUUUGAUGCAAAUACAAUGGAUGAUGAACUUGGCUCUGAGGAUGAACUUGGUGAAUUGCCCAAAAAGAAAGGUUCCAGGGGAGUCAAUUUCACAAUUGAUGAGGAUGAGACACUUGUGAGGGCAUGGGAGGCCAUUGCUCUUGAUCCUAUCACUGGGGAUGAGCAACCUGGAGCAACGUAUUGGAAGCGCAUACAUGAUCACUUUCAGCGCAACAACAAGAGUGGUGUGUUUCGGUCUAGGAUUUCUCUCACUCAUCGAUGGCAAACAAUUCAAACUUCUUGCAGCAAGUGGGCAUGAUCAUUGGACCAAGUUGAUCGUCUCAAUCCAAGUGGUGCAAGUGCUCAAGAUAAGGUAAACAUUGCUCAACAACUAUACAAGGGCAAGCCUAAGAAGAAGGGUGGAAAGCCAGGGAAGACCUUUGCCUUGCACCAUUGUUGGGUCUUGCUUGAGCAUCAUGAGAAGUGGAGGACAAGAAACAAUGACAUGCCAACUAAAAGUAAGAAAUCAAGCAACUCUGGCUCUCCAAAUGAAGAUGCCUAUGUGGGAAAUGACCUUGAUGACUCUGAUGAUGGUAACUCUGCUGGAAGACGAAGCCCCACUCCUAGUUCGGCACCAUCAAAUAAGAGGCCACCUGGUAGAAAGACAGAGAAGUUGAAGAAAGUAGGUGACAGUACAUACAAGGAGUCCUUGGACACCAUGAUGGCAACUAGGAAGGAAUUUGCUGCUGAGAGGAAAGAUUUUAAGACUACAAGGUGGCUGGAGAUCAAAGAAAUGGAGGAGAGGAGGGCGGCGGCAGAGGAGAGGAGGGCAUCGGCUGAGGAGAGGAGGGCAGCGGUUGAGGAGAGGAGGGUGGCUAUUGAGGAGGCGGCCAAGAGGCUAGAACAAGAGCAAAAGAUCAUGUUCAUGGAUACAACUCAUCUUGAUGCAAAAGGAAGAGCAUAUGUUGAGCUUAUGCGUGAUCAAGUCUUGGCGGCAAGAUCCAUGAGAUGAUUCAACAUGGGAGGUUACAUGGGUGGAUUUGGUUGCAAUGGGACCUCCUCUGUCAGUGCUGGCCAUGGUGGUUUUGGUGGCUAUGGGACCUCUUCUGUCAUUGGUGGCAAUGGUGGCAUUGGGACCUCUACUGACAUUGUUGAUGAUCCAAGUGGUGAUGAAAUUGAAGAACACAAUUGAUGCAUGAUGUGUGCUUUUGGUUGAACUUGCAUUUUGCAAUUUAUUUGCAUCAUUUGGAUUAACUAUGCAUGCUGAAUUUUAAUUUCAAAAUUAUGUAAUUCUUAGUGUCGUGAAUUUGUGUUUGAUGUAUGAUCAUUUCGUUGAACAAUAUCAUUGAACUCAUUUGCA